AAUAAGAACAUUUUUCAGUUUUUUGAUACAUUGUUUUGACUCUUCAUCUUAUUUAAAAUUUUUUUGCGAUUAACAUUUUUAUUCUUACUAGAUAAUAAAACAUAAAUAGUAUUUUAUGCUUGAUUAAUUUUUUUAAAUUUUUAUAAAAUUUUUUCAAAUAAAACGAAUAGUCAAACAUUAGACACGGAAAACAAAAAAUAAAGUUAUU
rnacentral:pre_miRNA from 1 species